rnacentral:lncRNA from 1 species
GGCAUGCGCCGUAGGGCGCGCGUUGUUCCGGCCUGUCACGUGCUCCAGACGGCUACGCAUGCGCAGGGGAGUGCCGUGCCUCCGUCGCCCGCGGCGGCUUCGCGCUGUGUCGCGCCGUCCGCGAUCCUCUCGGUGGCUCCUCGCUCGCGGCCCUAUGCGUGGCUCCCGGCCUCCUGCCGCGCUUGGUGCGGUGUUCUAGAUUUUUUGCUCAUUUUAUUUGAAUCGUUCUAUCUUUUAAUUCGGUGUUUGAUAAAUCUUUAGGCAGACACUCAAAAUAAUAAAAAAUUGUCUUCCAAAAUAUCUC